rnacentral:pre_miRNA from 1 species
AAUAAGUACAGUUUUAUACUAUUUACGUUCAACAUUUGACCAUUCGUCUUAUUUGAAUUUUUUUAUGAUUAGUAUUUUUAUUGCUAAAUAUUUUCAAAUUUUUCACAAUUUUUUUAAAUAAGACGGACGGUCAAAUAUUGGACACGGAUAUCUACGGCUGUACUUAUU